GUCUCUGUGGCGCAAUUGGCUAGCGUGCUCAGCUGUUAACUGAGAGGAUGGUGGUUUGAACCCACCCAGGGACG